rnacentral:rRNA from 1 species
GAUGAACGCUGGCGGCGUGCUUAAUACAUGCAAGUCGAGCGAACGGACGAGAAGCUUGCUUCUCUGAUGUUAGCGGCGGACGGGUGAGUAACACGUGGAUAACCUACCUAUAAGACUGGGAUAACUUCGGGAAACCGGAGCUAAUACCGGAUAAUAUUUUGAACCGCAUGGUUCAAAAGUGAAAGACGGUCUUGCUGUCACUUAUAGAUGGAUCCGCGCUGCAUUAGCUAGUUGGUAAGGUAACGGCUUACCAAGGCAACGAUGCAUAGCCGACCUGAGAGGGUGAUCGGCCACACUGGAACUGAGACGCGGUCCAGACUCCUACGGGAGGCAGCAGUAGGGAAUCUUCGACAAUGGGCGAAAGCCUGACCGAGCAACGCCGCGUGGGUGAUGAAGGUCUUCGGAUCGUAAAGCUCUGUUAUUAGGGAAGAACAUAUGUGUAAGUAACUGUGCACAUCUUGACGGUACCUAAACAGAAAGCCACGGCUAACUACGUG